CCGAGUUUACAACUCCCAAACCCCUGUGAACAUACCAUAUCGUUGCCUCGGCGGUGCCCGUUUCGGCGGCCCGCCAGAGGACCCAAACCCUGUAUUAAAGUAUUCUUCUGAGUAAAUGAUUAAAUCAAUCA
rnacentral:misc_RNA from 1 species